rnacentral:tmRNA from 2 species
GGGGAUGACAGGCUUUUGACAGGACAGGUGUGCGAUCCAGUUGCACUCCGAGUUUCAGCAUGGAUGGACUCGUUAAAGAAGUCUAUGCGACCAUUAGAUGCAGACGAUCAUUCGUAUGCAAUGGCUGCCUGAUUAGCAAAAGUUAAUUAAGCCAGCCAUCGUUCGGCGGGGGAGGCGCUUGCUCCAAAGCCGCCCAACGGCAUAACCCGCGCUUGAGCUUCAGCUCGCGCAAGCAAGCUUCAUUCGUUUCUUUCCCGGAAGGGCGAAUGAAUAUCAUUCCGGGAUAGUGUUUCGAACUCUGUCGGCGGAGUCGCGGCGCACGAAACCUCAAUCACCGAAGAUGAGUGUGGUGGCUGUUUCAAGCAAUGUUCUGGACGCGGGUUCGACUCCCGCCAUCUCCACUA